GCUAAAACAUCAGCUUCUUCAUUAGCUAAUCCACAAACUGAAACAAAAAUAAAGACAACCGAUGAGGAUUCGAAAGCACAAGAGGCGAUGUCGGAGAUACCAUGAGGAUUCGAAAGCUUGAAUUAUAGGUUAUUGCUCUGAUUAAUUUGAUCCGCAGAUUUGUGGCCGAUUCGAUCACUGCUCUCAACACCAGCGCUUCCGCUACCAAGGGUGAAGAUCUACAACAGAUACAAUCUGAGAGGACCUGCAUGUCUAAAUAUUUGACAACCGAACAAUCUAAUUAUUUCCCAAAGGAGGUGCCAUAACUGGUGUCGGACCAUGUAAACCUCUUAAGACUGAAAAAUCCAGAAAAUAAAAUGAUUUGCAGAAGAAAAGUGUUGACGGUUGGAGCUGUAUGGUUUUGUUCUUCUCUCCUUAUUUAUUUUGACGGCCAAGAUAAAAGUGAAGCAAUGGUCCAGAUUAAAGAAGAAGAUCCGAAAUAUCAUAACCGGGUCGUUAGGAUCCGCGCGUUUAUCCGUUUACCCUGUUUAGAUAAUGACGGUUUUAUCCUUUUCGCAAAAUAAUUAAUUGGUCAUAACUCCAAUGGCAUUGUAUUGUAAAUUCUUAUAAAACUAAGGUUUUUUUCAGGCAA